AGAAGAAGAAAUAGAAGAAAAUGCCACACAGCUUCCUCUAGGACAGGCAGCUGCAUUAUCAGUCCUCUCUCCCUCUCUCCAUGACAGAAGUUCUCCACAUGUGGCCCGACUAGCAUCACCAGCAGAUUCUGGGGUCCCAUGCAGACCUGCUGCAUAACACAUAGUGGUGGGGUCCAGCUAUCUGUGGUACUAAUGGGCUUUCUGUGUCUAUGAUGCCAGUUUGGGAACCAUGGCCAGAGCAGUCUCACCUCAGGCUGUGCAUUGGAAUUGCCUCCUACUCUGUGGCCCCCAGGUUCCUUUAUUCUCAAUCACAUAUGGCAUCUCAAAGGAGUUCCACAGAAUACAGUUGUGGAACAUAGGCCCAGAGGGAGGUCUUCAGUGCCACAGGACUCUAUCCCAGGCCCAUCUAAUCAGACUACCUCACUGAUGACUUAGAAGACAUCCAUUGUCUACUGAUCAAAUCAGUGAGUUACACAAACCCUGGUGGGAGGAGGCUGGGUUGGGUAACAGGGUCAGUAAUGGUUGAUACAUUGUGUCAACUUGAGAAGUUUAGAAGUUUAACUAAGCAACUCAUCAG
rnacentral:lncRNA from 1 species